UACGUAGGUGGCAAGCGUUGUCCGGAAUCAUUGGGCGUAAAGCGCGCGUAGGCGGCCCGGUAAGUCCGCUGUAAAAGUCAAAGGCUCAACCUUUGAAUGUCAGUGGAUACUGCCGGGCUAGAGUCCGGAAGAGGCGAGUGGAACUCCUGGUGUAGCGGUGGAAUGUGCAGAUAUCAGGAAGAACACCGACGGCGAAGGCAGCUCGCUGGGACGGUACUGACGCUGAGGCGCGAAAGCGUGGGGGAGCGAACAGG
rnacentral:rRNA from 1 species